GACUUUCAAACCCUAUUACAGAAACUUAUCUUUUCAGCCAUGGAAGACAGCGCAGUGAACAGAACACAGACACAAUAGCAACGGAAUAAAAACCACCGACACGGGGUUACCGGUUACCGCAAGGUGCAGUGGGAGACCAGGAGCCUUCUCACUCGGAAAUCAGGGGUGUCCUUAGAGGCCCCGAAGGUCUUUCCAGCUCACUGACCACGACAGGUUAAAUAAUACCUAGCGUGUCGGCAGUAAGCAUCUGACUGCUGUAUAGAAAUUGAUUCUGGAGUCCAAUUUAGGGGAAAGGAGCAGGGAGGAGCACAAGGACUGUGACCUUUAUUGCUAAUUCGUUCUUCAGGAGGGGCCGCAGCCAUGUCCGUUGUGGGCAACUCUGAGGAGGCUUGCCGCCUUCCCCCAGCAACAGACGCGCAGGCCAACAAGCCAAAGAUCCCGACGCUGAUUGGUUGAAAUUCGAGGUAGGCGGAAGAUUCUGAUUUGUUAUUGGCUGUUUGGUGCGCUCAGCUGUAACCUCCACCGCCCCUCCGGGAGCCUGGCGGAAUUGUGUGAUU
rnacentral:lncRNA from 1 species